UUAUUAUUAUUUUAUCAUUAUUUUAUAAUUUUAUAAUUUUAUAUUUUAAAAAAAAAUAUUUAUUUAGUGUCACAAUAAAACAACUAAACAAAAUAAAUGCCACCAUUGAUGUCCUAAUAGGCCGUUUUAUCAAGGCCAUUUUUAUUUUUACUCAAAAAUGAUGUUAAUAUAUAAUUAAAAUGUAACGGAGCGAGAUCGUAAUCGUUGUAACGGCUGUUAUUCUAACCUUCGCGCCCCUUCAUUCCGGUGUGGCCCACGUCCUCCCGUGUAUCGCCUUCAUCCAGCUCAGCAAUGGGGCCCAUCGGUAUGAUUCCAUCCGGGACCAAAGGGCAGACUCCGAUACCGGCAGGGUCCACCAGAUGGACCCCACGUCAUGCGCGUCUAGAACCGUCUGAUGGAGAUCAGCGAUUACUCUGCGAGGUAUCGGCGUGGUUUCUCGGGGAU
rnacentral:lncRNA from 1 species